rnacentral:lncRNA from 1 species
UCAUAUUUUCCCUUCUUACUUGGUAUGGCCCAGUUCUAUCCAAUUAAAAAAAAUUCACUUAUUAGUCCUAGCAGCCAUCGUUCUUUUUCAGACCUUCCCCUCCCCACUUUCUCUUUCAUUUUCAAUCUCUUUCUCUAUCUCUUUCUCUCUGGCAAAAUAGUAGAAUUCUUCUUCAGAUUUUCUUGCUCCGUUCAUUAUCUUCCUCUUCCAUAAAAUAAUUUUGUUGAACAAUCCACACCAGAUCUAUCUUUUGUAGUCCUCUUGAUUUGGUAAUUUUCUUCUUC